GUCCUUGUGGCGUAGUGGUUAUCGCGAUUGCCUUAAAAGCAGUAGACUCGGGUUCGAUUCCCGAUGAGGACG